rnacentral:snoRNA from 1 species
UGUCCAUGACCUGGGUAGAGAGGCUUCUGGUUGGUGGUACCCAUUUCAUAUCAGCCAGGGACAAAGUAACCCCUUGUUUGUCCAACAAGUUUGGCUUUUGGUCUGUGCCCAUGCCUGGUUCAUGCCUUGGACAUAUGG